rnacentral:rRNA from 1 species
GCCCUAGUAGCGGCGAGUGAAGCGGCAACAGCUCAAAUUUGAAAUCUGGCCCUCGUGGUCCGAGUUGUAAUUUGCAGAGGAUGCUUUUGGUGCGGUGCCUUCCGAGUUCCCUGGAACGGGACGCCAGAGAGGGUGAGAGCCCCGUACGGUUGGACACCUACCCUAUAUAUAGCUCCUUCGACGAGUCGAGUAGUUUGGGAAUGCUGCUCUAAAUGGGAGGUAAAUUUCUUCUAAAGCUAAAUACCGGCCAGAGACCGAUAGCGCACAAGUAGAGUGAUCGAAAGAUGAAAAGCACUUUGAAAAGAGGGUUAAAUAGUACGUGAAAUUGUUGAAAGGGAAGCGUUUGCGACCAGACCUUUUCUAGGCGGAUCAUCCGGUGUUCUCACCGGUGCACUUCGUCUGGUUUAGGCCAGCAUCGGUUUUCUUAGGGGGAUAAAGGCUUAGGGAACGUAGCUCUUUAGGGAGUGUUAUAGCCCUUUGCGUAAUACCUCUCGGGGGACCGAGGACCGCGCUCUGCAAGGAUGCUGGCGUAAUGGUCGUCAACGACCCGUCUUGAAACACGGACCAAGGAGUCGAACAUUUGUGCGAGUGUUUGGGUAUUAAACCCUCACGCGUAAUGAAAGUGAACGGAGGUGAGAGCCCUUACGGGUGCAUCAUCGACCGAUCCUGAUGUCUUCGGAUGGAUUUGAGUAAGAGCAUAACUGUUCGGACCCGAAAGAUGGUGAACUAUGCGUGGAUAGGGUGAAGCCAGAGGAAACUCUGGUGGAGGCUCGCAGCGGUUCUGACGUGCAAAUCGAUCGUCAAAUCUGCGCAUGGGGGCGAAAGACUUAUCGA